rnacentral:rRNA from 1 species
AAAUUGAAGAGUUUGAUCAUGGCUCAGAUUGAACGCUGGCGGCAGGCCUAACACAUGCAAGUCGAACGGUAACAGGAAACAGCUUGCUGUUUCGCUGACGAGUGGCGGACGGGUGAGUAAUGUCUGGGAAACUGCCUGAUGGAGGGGGAUAACUACUGGAAACGGUAGCUAAUACCGCAUAACGUCGCAAGACCAAAGAGGGGGACCUUCGGGCCUCUUGCCAUCGGAUGUGCCCAGAUGGGAUUAGCUUGUUGGUGGGGUAACGGCUCACCAAGGCGACGAUCCCUAGCUGGUCUGAGAGGAUGACCAGCCACACUGGAACUGAGACACGGUCCAGACUCCUACGGGAGGCAGCAGUGGGGAAUAUUGCACAAUGGGCGCAAGCCUGAUGCAGCCAUGCCGCGUGUAUGAAGAAGGCCUUCGGGUUGUAAAGUACUUUCAGCGGGGAGGAAGGGAGUAAAGUUAAUACCUUUGCUCAUUGACGUUACCC